AUGGGGAGAAGAGUGUGGAGAAGAAAGACAAUGAAAUCACAAAUGAGAGUGGUGAUGAAAAAACUGAUGGUGAGAGUAAGGACGGUCAAGAAGAGAAGCCUGAUGGCGAUGCCGCUCAGGAGGAGCAACCUAAAAUAGAAGAGAACGUGGAAGAAAAUGGAGAGAAGGAUCAGAGCUCAAACUCCAACGAGGUAUUUCCUGAUGGGGCCCAAUCAGAGCUUCUGAAGGAGUCAAAUACCCAGAACGGUUCAUUCCCCACACAGGCUGCAGAGUCAAAGAAUGAAAAGGAAGUCCAAGCGUUACCGAAGUCUUCAGGCGAUGCAACCAGCUAUACCUGGAAAUUAUGUAAUAGUAGUGCCUCAACAGAUUACAUACCUUGCCUUGACAACGAGAAGGCUAUCAAGAAGCUUCGAACUACCAAACAUUAUGAACAUCGUGAGAGGCAUUGCCCUGAGGAGCCUCCUACCUGCCUUGUUCCACUCCCAGAAGGAUAUAAACGGCCAAUUGAGUGGCCAAAGAGCAGGGACAAGGUGAUUCUGUUUAUUCUGAAUUGUACAACACCGAAUCAUCUUUAGCUGACCAAGAUGCGUGUUUGCUUAUUACCACGCUGUGCUGUUUUUUGCAGGUAUGGUACAGCAAUGUUCCUCACACUAGGCUUGCAGAGUACAAGGGGCAUCAAAAUUGGGUUAAGGUCUCAGGUGACUAUCUCUUGUUCCCUGGGGGUGGGACUCAGUUCAAGAAUGGUGCCCUCCACUAUAUUGAUACUAUUCAGCAGGUAUAUUAUAAUCAUCCCAGCAUCUCAUAUUAGUCACUCCUUAGACUUGUACUUGUCUGCCUCACACUUUUGAGCAUCAGUGAUUGAUUUAUUGUUAUACUAUUCCACAAACAUAAUUUGUCAAAUAGCACCAUAUAGAAAUCUGCAGGUGUUGAGGACAGUUUGUAACUUUGUAUGUGCUAGACUAAGCAACAUUAGUCAUCCCUGUAUUUUCAGCCUCUCAUUCUGGCGGAUAAAACUUUCCUUUUUUUUAGUCUCAUCCCUACAUUAAUAUAGCAAAUAAGCUGAGUACUGUACCAUGAUAUUGAGGUUUCAUGUUGCGUCUUUGAACUUAAUGUUAUCACACUUGCUUUCACCCUAUGCUGAUUAAACUGCCAUUCACAGGCACUACCUGAUAUUGCAUGGGGCAAACGAAGCCGUGUCAUAUUGGAUGUUGGUUGUGGAGUUGCCAGCUUUGGAGGCUACAUGUUUGAUAGAGAUGCGCUUACCAUGUCUUUUGCUCCAAAAGAUGAGCAUGAAGCUCAAGUACAAUUUGCAUUAGAAAGGGGAAUUCCAGCAAUAUCAGCUGUGAUGGGCACCAAGAGACUUCCGUACCCCAGCAGAGUCUUUGAUGUCAUUCAUUGCGCUCGCUGCAGGGUCCCUUGGCACAUCGAAGGUUUGUCCUGCUGGUUACAUAUUGACAUGUCCUCCUUUCAUUUAUUGAUUUGCUAUAGAACUGAAUCUUAUUGCUGGCUCGCUACUUUUAGGUGGCAUGCUUUUGCUGGAAUUGAACCGCUUGUUACGCCCUGGUGGUUACUUUGUCUGGUCUGCCACUCCUGUUUACCAAAAGCUCCCAGAGGAUGUUGAGAUUUGGAAUGGUAUUUCCGUAACUACUUAACUUCGUUGUACCCUAACUGAAUGAAGUUCUUAUGUUAAUGUGACAUAUCGAAACUUCUUACCAUCAUUUUAUGAGAGGUGUAUAUCCAUAAGUAGGGUAGCUGAUAACUUGAUUUGUAAAGUCAAAGCACCAUACAGCCUCAACAACAACAACAAAGCCUUUUAGUCUCAAGCAAGUUGAGGUAGGCUAGAAAAAUAUUAUACAACCUCCCAUUUUAAUAAGACAUCCAUACCAAAAUUUAUGUUUCAUACAAAUAUCAGACUAUAGCUUGUAUAAGUUUAGCUACUCUGUACUUCCCCCUUUCUUGUAUAGCAACUACCAAGAGAACAAAUUCAGCAGACAUGAGUGAAAGUACUGAAUAAUCCUAAGUAUGAAGGGUCAACUUCUUUCAUGGAUGGAGAAGGAUUGCAUUUGUUCAAAAUACAUGCUAUGGACCAACUGUUCAAAAUUGAAUUUUAUUUCUAACAUAACAUGUGGCCACAUACCCUUUUCAGCCAUGUCUACUUUGACAAAGUCCAUGUGCUGGAAGAUGGUCAACAAGACUAAGGAUAAGUUAAACCAAGUUGGUAUGGUCAUAUAUCAGAAACCAAUGGACAAUAUUUGCUAUGAGAAAAGAUCUGAAAACAGCCCGCCAUUGUGCAAGGAAUCUGAUGAUGCAGAUGCUGCUUGGUAUGGUUUCGGUUCUUUGAGAAGAGUAUAUUUUCAAUGGAGAAAAGUGCUUCUCUGCUUUGCUUACACAGCCUUUUGAUUUGCAGGAAUGUACCGUUGGAAGCAUGCAUGCACAAACUGCCUGGUGGCUCAAAAGUCCGAGGAUCAAAAUGGCCAGAGUUAUGGCCGCAAAGGCUUGAGAAGACCCCUUUCUGGAUUGAUGGUUCCAAGGUUGGUGUCUAUGGAAAGCCUGCAAAUGAAGAUUUUGAGGCAGAUAAUGCCCACUGGAAACGGGUUGUAAGUAAAUCGUAUGUGAAUGGCAUGGGAAUUGACUGGUCCAAAGUGAGAAAUGUCAUGGACAUGAGAGCUGUCUAUGGAGGGUAAGUAAAUGGUUUUCGUAGUUUCUUGGGCAUGUUUAUUUAUUUAUUUAUAUUUUGGUAAUUCAGAUCACACUACAUAACUACUAGUUACCCAAGCUGGCACAUAGUUAAUUAAAACAUAACACUAUAACAGGCAACUUGUCCACCAUAAGUCAUCAAGCAUAUUUCUUUGAAAGAUUCAGUCAAGCAUAACACUUUUUUUUUGUUACUGAAGACUGUUGACAAGGAGAAAUGCACUGUACACCUUCUUCUUGACUAAUGCUUUACAUUGUUGCAUGGCAGUUUUGCUGCAGCUCUGAGGGACCAAAAGGUCUGGGUCAUGAAUAUCGUGCCGAUCGAUUCACCAGACACGCUGCCCAUCAUCUACGAGCGCGGUUUGUUUGGCAUGUACCAUGACUGGUGCGAGUCUUUCAGCACUUACCCAAGAACGUAUGACCUUCUGCACGCGGACCAUCUGUUCUCAAAGCUCAGAAAGAGGUCUGUAUUUCUUGCUCUUCACAUUAUUCUACCCUUCUGGUAUAUCUACUAGUGAAACCCAGAAGUUGAAGCAGACUGAUGUGACUAGUUCAGCAAGGAAACAUCAAUGAUCGUUCAUGCAACGAGUUUUGACAUGUUCCUUUGAUACGUACACGUAGCAUUGUUUGCAUGCUUUUAUUGCUUCUUGCGACUAAAACCUGUGGCGUUUGCCUGCAGUGUUUUAGAUACUAAAAAUCUGUGUUGCCUGUUUACAGAUGCAAACUGGCUGCAGUUUUCGCCGAGGUCGACCGUGUACUGAGGCCACAGGGCAAGCUGAUCGUGAGGGACACCGCGGACACGAUAAAUGAGCUGGAGAGCAUGGCCAAGUCCGUGCAGUGGGAGGUGCGGAUGACCUACACCAAGGGCAGCGAGGGCCUGCUCUGCGUCGAGAAGUCGAUGUGGCGGCCCAAAGAACUCGACGCUAGCACGUGAACUGUGUUGAGGAGGAACUGCUACCACGUAGGGGUGAAAUUAGAGGAAUUUUGUCUUCUAGAUAUGCGUAUGGCUCUUGUUGGUGCUGAAAGGACCAGAAAAUAUUUGGUGUAACUGUAGAACAAUACAUCUGUUUUUUCUGCCGUUUGUUUUCGUUUUUGUUUUUUCACAACGUUGCUGUAAGUUAGUGCUGGAAAUCACAGGUACAUUCAGUUCUACUGGGCACGUUGUUGGCUUGUCGGAUAGCAGUCGAACGAUCUUGUGCUGCAUAUGUUAUAUUUGAACUGUUGUGCAUCUCGAAUGUUCAGUUCUUUCCCAAAGGUCAGGGUAAGAGUACGUGGAGAGGAGAGCAGCGAAUGGUGGAGCGACGAGGCAAAUGAAUCCGGGACGACGGUGACGUGUGAAGCGAGAAGAUUUGUUGGAGCGCCGGAAACGUCCGAAGUUUGGGGGCGCCCCAUGGACGCACGCCACAAAAACGUUUGGAAUUCGGAAACGUCUGGAACUCAGGGUGCAGCGUUUCCCUCGUUGAUUCAUUCAUUCAGCGUGAGGAGAAGCGAUUCUCUUGGGGGCCCAGCAAACAUUCGGCACCCGUGCGCCCACUGCUACAAGACGCGGGUGACGUCCGUGUCGUUCCAUUUUCUUGAGCUCAUCUGAACGCGGGGAGUUUUUCUGUUUUCUAUGUUUUUUUUUCUCGUGUGAAAAUGAUAGAACGAACACGUUUUUUCUCCUUCUGUUUCAUGUAUUUUUUUCUUGUUGAAAUAAAUGGAGCGUUUUCCUCAUGUAAUUUUUCUGUUUUCUUGUUAAAACAAAGAAAUUUCACAGAAAUCAGUUUAAUUUUUCUCAGAAAAAACACAGAGGAAGGAAAAGAAUCCCACGUUCACGGUCUUAGUACAAACAUUGAAGUAUCCAUGGUCCAUAGAAUAAUGGGAUCAAACAGUUGUGGACAAAACAAGAGAAGGGCACCGGGCCGCCUUGCUUUUAUAUAUAAUAUAUAGAAAAUACGUAUAUAUAUAUAUAUAUAUGUACUCUUGCAUAUGUACACUAGUAGCACAGCAGUAGGGCCAGCGUCAAAAAAUGGCAAGGCGGCGCGGGGCCCGCGGGCCGCGUGUCUGGCCACCUGCCCAGCUGGGCGCGCACGUGGGGCGAAAGAGACGGCCUUGGCCCGGCUCGCUAGGUGCAGGGAGGCGCCGCCGCCUGGGCCGGGCCGUGGGAGAGCCAGCGGGUGAAGGCGUCCAGCGUGCGGGUGUCGGCGCGGUAGUGGCGCUGCGUGAAGCGCAUGAGGUCGGCCCAGGUGAAGUCCGGGUAGCGCCGCGGCGCAGCACUGGCCGGCGGGCGCACCACCCGGUCCUCGCGCGGGCACAGGAAGAAGGCCAGCGACCGCCGCGCCCGCCGCUGGUUCACCACCGCGCGGUGCAGGCAGCUCUUGUACCUCCCGUUCGACAGCGCCUGCAUGGCAUGCGGGUUAGCACAGUGCACAAGAAUCAUCGUGUCGGGCUGUCUCAUUGUUGCGGUGCGCCCGGCGGCGGGCCAGGCCGCGACAACCGGACGCGUGCAAGUGCCUGCCACCCACACGGCCAAGGGCCCGAGCUGUUUGGAGCCCCGGCGUGGUGUGGGCGCCGCGUGCCGGAUCGCCAGCGAAACCGCGACAAAAGUGCAAGCGGAAACGGCGGGGGCAACAGCAGCCACCACGUACCGGUGACCCGAUCCAACCCAACCCGACUCCAACCAACCUUGUACUAUAUACUAUACAUUAUACUCCGCGCGACGGCCCUCCGCGCCCGUGCGGCAUCGCAUAGGGCCGCUCGCGUGGCGCGGCGGAUCAGACGGGAUGGGCGCCGCACCGAGCGUCGGUCUCGGUCGUCGACCCAUUUCUCGGCCAUGGACACCGAGAGGGGGAAACCGACAAGGCCGCGCGCACCUGGACACGGCCACCCGCCGAAAGCGUUGCCCUGCCCGGCACCCAUCGUAUCGUCUCCCCGCCACGUCCCCGUCGACGUCCCCGCCGCCGCGCAAGCCUCUCCGCAACGCUCCAACGCCACAAACCAACAGGGAACUUGCUACCGCUAGCCGACCCCCUCGGUCCGUUCUCUUGUCGCAACUCUCCCCCGGAAGCCUCGAUCGGCCUGGGCGCGGCCGCGGAUAGACUAGAGAGAGCGCGCCGCGGCCGCGUGUACCUGCCGUAGCCCGCCGAGAUAGGAACCAACUCGAACGCAUGUCUCUAUUGCAUUUGCAUCGGCAUCGCUAUGUAUGUACUAGCUACAUGACAUGCCUACGUGUGCGUGCUGUAAUAACCUGCCCGUUUAGGUCCACUAGGAUUCGGGAAAUAACAGCACAGAGAGAGCUCAACUGAAUAUACACACAGGACAAGAGCGGCCAAGGAAAACAGAGGAGCGAGCGCUUUCGUUUCGUUACCAUGAAGGUGUCGCCGAUGUUGAUGACCAUGGCGCCCGGGACGGGCCGGACGGGGCGCCACUCACCGUCCACCAGCACCUCCAGCCCGCCCACGUCGUCCUGCAGGAGGAUGGUGAGCGCCGUGGGGUCGCAGUGCGGGCCCGUGCCCAGCGUGCGCUCCGGCUCCGGGCACGGCGGGUAGUAGUUGCACCGCAUGAUGGACCGGCUGUCCUCGAAGAACUCCCGGUAGUAGCCGCGCAGCUCCACGCCCAGGCUCAGCUCCAGCAGCUCCAUGAUCGUCAGCGACAGCUCCUUCAUCUCCUCGCAGUACCUCUGGUACACCCACCUGCCACACAUGCAUGGGACGGGACGGGGGUUCAUACGUCUCCCGAGUCCCGACUCGACCGCACGCCGACGUGCGGUAAAUGUAAACCGGCGCUCCUUCUUACUACCUUACUUACCCCAUUGGCUCGAAAUCCUGGCCGAGGGUGCCGACGAAGUAGUCCACGACGACAGGCGACGCGGCGCCGUCGUGGUAGCCGAACGACAGGGUCUCCUUCCAGGGGAGCUUGGCCGCGAACCGGUCGGCGUGCGCGCUCGUGUACCCGGACACGGUGCCGGGGACGCGCCGGGCGCGCUGCUUCUCGGCGAGCGGCAGCCGGAAGAAGUCGCUGGCGCCGUCCAGCGCGGCGCGCCCCAGCGCCGCGUCCACGCCGUGCCCGCACACCUGGAAGAACCCGUGCGUCGCGCACGCCGCGGCCACCUGCGCCGCGGCGCGCCGCAGCCCCGCGCGGUCGCCAUUGCGCAGCACGCCCACGUCCACCAUCGGCACCUCCAGCUCCGCGGCCGAGGACGGCCGCGCCUCUUCCUGCGGCCACAGGAAUGGCGCGGGGAUCUUGGGCUCCCGGCGCAGGUCGAACACGGCCGCGCCGGCCUUGCUGGCCGCCGCGUCGGCCUUGUCCUUGCCAGCGGGGAGGUCAAUGCUGGGGCUGGGAGUGGGGGCGCGGAGGAGGAGCGGCGGGGCCGGGCUGGCGUCCAUGGACGUGGCUGCGCGCUUGGCGCUGCUGCUGCUGCUGCUAGGCACAGCUGGCUCUUGUCGUUCCUGCGACACCAUGAGAUGUGCGAGCUGCAAGUAUGCAGGGAAGCUGUCCGGGCGGGUGGGGGUAUUUGUAACAGGGGAGGACAGGGAGUUUGCGAGCAACGACAAAGACGAAGGCAGGGAGGGAACAUUUGGAGGGAGGCGCGGCCUCAUGUGGGACCCGACACAGUGGAGCCCAUGGCCAUGGCGCUUCGUUGGAGGCAGCCCAUAUAGAGCCGAGAAGGCACAGGCCUAUUUUAAAGUAAAGUAUUAUAUAUUUGUAGGUACAUUACAAUUUUUUUAUAGCAUAAGGUGUUUGAUUGUAUUUCUAAAAACUGUUUUUUAAUUAUUUUAUUUUAAAAGUAUGCAAUUUUUAUUACGAAACUCACUUUAAUUCAAAAUUUUUAUAGCAUAGCUAGCUUUUGACUAAAACUAUUGUAACAAUAAUCUAAUCAAUUUUGGUCGGUAAGAGGCCCAUAAAAAUUAGACCUGGUUUACAUAUAUUAGCUAAUUUUUAUUGGUAUAAAAAUAGCUAAUUUUCACCGACUAGUGAAGGCCAAUAAGCCAUUACCGGAAAUUAAUGAGCGUUCUUCAAUAAUUAUCGGUCGUGUGAAGCUUCACCUAGUGGUAAUGACUGAAGACCAUUUAGUAAUUACCGAUGGAUGAAGCUUUACCUACACCAACGAAUAGUAUAUGAGUGUGUAUAUAUAUUCAUAUGGUUCCAUCCACAACAUACAUAUUCAUCUACAUCACAUAUGUUCACAAGUUAAUCCACACCACAUAAAUUAUCAUAAUCAUAUUUAAAAAUCAUAACAAAUCUUUAAGUAACAUGAAUCGUUCUAAAUAACAUAAUAAACACCAAUACUUAAAUAUUAAACAUCUUUUAGCUUAGAUUCAUAGAAUAAUUAGAGUUCUUAUCAUCUACCUAGAGUAUUAUUUAACAACUGGUUAAUGAAUGCGUUAGACCCCUCAUCAUUCGUGUCUUUAGGUGUUGCUAAUUAUAAAGAAGGAACAUAAAAAUCAUGCAAGUUACAAUUAGUUGGAAAUAAGUCAUAAUGAUUAAAAUUUUAUAGAGUUUAUCUAAAUUGAUUAGUUUUUGCUAAAAUUUGAGAUAGAUCUACUAAGUUAUGCUACAAUAUCUAUCUUUCGCUAUAGUUGAGCUAGAUUAGAUUGAUUAGUUUUUCCUAAUAUUGAUCUAAGUUGUGCUAGAUUAGCUAAGUUUAGAUAAAAUUGAGCUAAGUUGGCUAUUUUUGCUACAAUGAAGCCAAGUUGCCUAAUUUUAUUAGAAUUGAGCUAAGUUGGCUAUAGAUAUGAUUAUUUGAGGUCCAAGCACCAAUGAAGAACCCAUUAUGAUGGUGGAGAUGGUUGUGGUAUCUAGAACAUGGUAAAAGUGAUGGUUAUCCCCUUUUGUCACAACAUUAUUUAUGAAUGAAAUAGAUAAAACAUUAUUCGCUACGUUAAAUACUUAAAGAUAGCAAUAGAAGAUCAGUUGAACUUACUUAAAACAUCAUGUGUUGUUGUUCUAUAUAGUUAGAUAAAUACUCAUCACGAUGUCAUUCAUUGACCCGAAACUAUUGAUCAUAGUCUUGAUGUUGCCUCUUCUGCUCAUCAUGUAGUUUGUCGUGGUUCGAUGACCACUAACUCUAGAACUCUGUGUGAGGGUGCUGACUUCUGAGCUCUCACCUUCCUAUAGUUAGUCACUCCAUUAAAUACGAAGUACCUAUAGCACAAACAGUUUAGAACGCUAAUUUCAUAUUUUACUCUUUUCAUGCUACUCCGCUAGCGUGCACAACAAAAGGAUCAACUGUUAGCACUCGUCAAUUGCAAUCUUCUUCGAAUCGAUUGACCACUUUUUGACCAUAUUGUGUCUAUGGUACAAACAAACAAGCAAGCAAGAUAACAAUAAAAUUUGAUACAAUAAAUAAAAAGUAUAGACAACUUACUAGACGAUAUGUGUACGACUGACUACAAUUUCUCUAGGUUUGAAGAUUAUGAUUCAUGUUGUCCAACAUUUGGCACUACUACAGUAAUAGCUAUCUAUAUAGACAAUGUAUUCCUCGUUAUAUGCGAUAGUCAUUGUAAACAUAUGAUAUAAUACAACUUAACAUGCAUUUAGCUUUGCAUAUAUGGUCAUCAGUGCCAUAAGUGUGAUUUAGAUCAUUAUCACUGUUUUGUCUAUGCUUCUAAGACAAAUCAUGGAACUCUUUCAUAGCCUAGAGUUUGCAAAGAUCAUGGUAAGCCUUCUUAUAUAGUUUACCACCCAUGAAACUAUCACCUAAACAUAUAUUUGUUCAUAAUUAAAUCAAUAUUAUGCUAGGAGUUUAAGAUAAAAUAUCCAAAUAUGUUUUACUUUAUAGUAUUGCUCCUCAGUCAAGUAAAUGGGCCAAAGGACGCACACCAAUGUAUCUAUGUUAUCCAAUUUUAACAUAGAUAAUUCAAACCUCAAAGUAAACAAAAAUGAUAUAUGCCACUAUGUAUACCAAGUACAUAUGCACACAAUAGUGAAAAUGUAUUUUAUAGUUUAUCAAUUGCAAAAAAAAACAAGUUUCUUUAACAAACCAUAUAUCAUGACCCUAAAACCCAUUCUUAAUUAUAUUGAAAGUCUGCAACAAUGUUUUUUGCAAAUUUUAUUUUAGAUGUCUAUACAUUUUACAUAUGAAUACUGGUAGUUUAAUUAUAAUCACUCUAUUUUUUAAAGAACAAUACACACAUACAACUCUUUGGUAGAAGAAAAUUCAAUGCCUUGAGUGUUGUGGCGUGGAUUAAAACACAUGAUGAUGCUAUUGUUGUAAGUAUUAGUGAAGUUUAGGAUCUAUAUUUUCAAUAAAUUAUAUAAAAACAACACAUGAUUCAAACUUAACACAUGGAUAUGAAAAAAUGCUAAAACUAACAUGAUUAAAAAUUUGCAGCCAAAAUAUCGAUUCAUGUAUGGUGCCAUAGAAAGGAUGCAAAGAUCCGAUAUAAUUUAAGUUAUGGUUUAAAAUAAAUGAGUAUUUAAAUCAAUGGAGGUGUAGCGCAAAGAUUAAAACACAUAGAGAAUAAUUGAAAAUUUUGUCGAAACAUAUAAAGCAGUACCUUAGUAAAGGUGAUGCAGUUUUAAUUGCAUCAUUAGUCAAAUUUAUCUAAAGUUUGACCAAACAAUUAAUAUAAGAAGAGUAUUAGACACAAAAUAGGUAUAUUGUGAACAUAUAUUAUAUGAUAAAUCUAAUAAUACAUAUUAGUAUUGUAAAUUUUGCUAUUUUAAAAGGGUGAAAACAAAUACUUAUUCAGAUAUCAUUUUUUUGGGUAUUUUCUCUUUGAUUGCGAAUAAAUGGGAUAUAAAAUCUACUAUAAAAAAUCGUAUUUUUGUUUCUAUCAUGAGCUUAUAAAGAUUCAUAAAAGGUAAGCUUCAAAUUAUCAUAUAUUUUCUCAAAUGAUAAAUAUAAAUUUCGGAUACUUAUUUGGGUGCGAAUAUUUUAACUUUUUUUGUGUAGGCAACAAAUAACACAUAAAACAAUUUAUGCAGAAUUUUAUUCUUAUUUGUAAUCAUAUGCUUGGUUAUAUAAGGAAAGAUCAACAUUAAAUUUCAUGCAUAUUUAUUUUAAAAUAUUAAAUUUGUCCUAACAAUUCGAAUACCCACUUUCAUUUCUAUUUUUAAUAAUUAAACUUAGUAAAACCACAUAUGCUUUGCUGGUGCUAUGUUAAAAUUAUAUUAUUUUUGGAAUGCUAGAAAACGAAUAAAAAAUAUUAUAGUAAUUUUGGAUUAAUUUUAUCACUAAAUUUUUAAUACUUAUACAACAUAUAUCCUACAAAGAGUCAUUGUAGGAGUGUGGGGGGGGAAUAUUAAUGCAAUUGGUAAAUGACCAAAUACCUCUAAAAAUUUAGCUUAUUGUGUUUUUAUUGAGUUGGAAUAUAAAAUAUCUAGAUACGACCCAGAUAUUAUGUUGUAAUAUAUAUUAUUUAUGGAUAAAAUUUAAACAAAUGGUAGAAUCAUAUCCAGCCUGAUUGGAUGACUGUGCGUCCAUACGCAGGCUGACACCGCACUGACAAGUCAGAUACGAUAAUUUUGAGCGUAUGGGUGGAUGCAGGUUAAUAGCAUCAAAAUAACUUAUUUUGCAUUCACUCAUGUAGAUUAUGACUCUCAUAUACAAUUAACCAAACAUAAUUUUAAAUAAAGUCAACGUAUGCGAUGAUAAAAAUGAGAUGAUGCGAGCAACCAGUUAGACGGAUUGUCUAUGGGAUUAGGGAGUGAGAAUAUAGAUUUUCGUGGAGCACGAAUUGGGCUAGUAUGUAGACGUCGUAAUGAUUCACGUGUACUACUUUGAUCACGCAACAGUUGUUUUUUUGCGAGCCCGACGCAGACACGUCAGUGAAUAGCAGGGUGCCACACACGACAGAUUACGUACUUGGAUGUUGGAUGUGCAUACUGCAUAGACAGGCAUAUGGAAUGGAGCGCGCGUGUGUCGCUAAAGGAAGCGACCCCAUGCGAGGACACCACAGCUAAAACUGAGGAGGAGGGGGCGGGCGGUGGGUGGGUGGGACGGCCAGCGGUGAGGUCGCCGUGGCCGGGGCAGUGGACUAGGCGGCGGCGGUGUUAUCGGCGAGCUACUGUUUCAUGUCCGGUGGGCUUAGAAGGAGGGAUCCGGAGGCUAACGGUGGUGGCGGGCUGAGUUGUGAGCAGGCCGAGAAAGAUAACCGGAUAAGCAGUGCCGGCGGUGGCGGUGGUCAGGUGAUGAUCUUUUCUUCACCGAUUGGAUUUAGGGAUGAGCCGUCGGUCGGUAGAGGUCGGAGGUGGGCAGGGUUCGUCGGAGAAGAAGGGCAUGCGGGUUGGAGAAGAUGAAUAGUAACUAUGCGUUGGCUGCCUUAACGUAUUUUACUUUACAUCAACUUGCAUCUCUGUAGCCAAAUACAAAAACACCACCUGCAGCCUGCAGGGGAUGGUAUGCACUGUCUCGCCAUGGUAGCAUAGUCUACCAUUUAUUAUCUACUACUAUAUCUGCUAUUAUUGAAACUAAAGUCCAUUAUAUUAUUCUAUUGUCCAUCAUCGUAUUUUAAUUUUACCUUUUUAAUAUCCUCACGUGACCAUUUUUCUCCUAUAUAAU
rnacentral:lncRNA from 1 species